GUAGCAGUGAAAUGCGUAGAUAUGUGGAAGAAUACCGAUGGCGAAGGCAGCCCCCUGGGAUAAUACUGACGCUCAGAUACGAAAGCGUGGGGAGCAAACAGGAUUAGAUAUCCUGGUAGUCCACGCCAUAAACGAUGUCAACUAGCUGUUGGGGCCGUUAGGCCUUAGUAGCGCAGCUAACGCGUGAAGUCGACCGCCUGGGGAGUACGGUCGCAAGAUUAAAACUCAAAGGAAUUGACGGGGACCCGCACAAGCGGUGGAUGAUGUGGAUUAAUUCGAUGCAACGCGAAAAACCUUACCUACCCUUGACAUGUCUGGAAAUCCGAAGAGAUUUGGCCGUGCUCGCAAGGGAACCGGAACACAGGUGCUGCAUGGCUGUCGUCAGCUCGUGUCGUGAGAUGUUGGGUUAAGUCCCGCAACGAGCGCAACCCUUGUCAUUAGUUGCUACGCAAGAGCACUCUAAUGAGACUGCCGGUGACAAACCGGAGGAAGGUGGGGAUGACGUCAAGUCCUCAUGGCCCUUAUGGGUAGGGCUUCACACGUCAUACAAUGGUCGGGACAGAGGGUCGCCAACCCGCGAGGGGGAGCUAAUCUCAGAAACCCGAUCGUAGUCCGGAUCGCAGUCUGCAACUCGACUGCGUGAAGUCGGAAUCGCUAGUA
rnacentral:rRNA from 1 species